rnacentral:rRNA from 1 species
UACAGAGGUGCCAAGCGUUAGGCGGAAUCACUGGGCUUAAAGCGCGUGUAGGUGGGUUGUUAAGUGUCCGCGUGAAAUCCCACGGCUCAACCGUGGAACUGCCGGGCAGACUGGCGAUCUUGAGGCACUCAGGGGCGAGCGGAACAAAUGGUGGAGCGGUGAAAUGCGUAGAUAUCAUUUGGAACGCCAAUGGUGAAAACAGCUCGCUGGGGGUGUCCUGACACUGAGACGCGAAAGCCAGGGGAGCGAACGGG